AUUAGGUCCUGCAGUAAACUUUACUUACAAAUAAUGUAAAGUAAAGUUAAAUGUAAAUUAUAUGUUUCAAGUUCUUUCUUAUUAGAAAAUGAUUAAGUAAUUUCCCGUGGCUGUCGCAGUGGGUCUUCAGCACUCAUAGUUCAGUCGUCUGAUUCGAUAAGACGGUUCUAGUCAAUGCGUUGUACAUCGUAUACAAGAAGAACAUGCAGUUCGUAAGAUUAUUUAUGGUGUCCUCCAUGUGUGUGGUGGCGGGCAGAUGCUUCACUCCGUAUACUCCGACCCAACAGAGUUUCAGACUUCAUAAGAUCGUGCCGGAUAUCAUCCCUGUCGGACCACCUAAUCAGUUGCGAGUGCUGUACCCAAGCGGCGUUAUGUUGACAAUUGGAGCAAAAACCAAGCCCUAUUACAUCGACGAACAACCAUCGAUAGUCGAAUAUAGGUGUCCAAAAAUAAGCUUCAACUUGUUGAUCAUGAUCGAUUUCGACGAACCGGCUUUCGGGCAUUACAGAGAAAGAGAACGUGUUCAUUGGCUGGUAGUGAACAUGGAGGCUGAUGACGUGAGUUCGGGCCAAACUCUCAUCGAGUACGGCAUGUUCCCUGUGAUGUUCGAAGGACCUCAUCGUUAUGCUUUCUUGAUGUACCAACAACCUUGGGUAUUCGGAUUUGACAUCCCAUACAUCGACGCCGAAACUAUUGAAGGUCGAAAUAAUUUUUCAAUAGCAGACUUUUCAACCAAAUACCAUUUAAAUAAUCCAUUAUGGGGUGCUAUAUGGAUUAAUACAUUCUAGCAAAAGAAGUUAGAGAGGAUCCUAAUAAUGUCCAUCAUAUUUAAUAUCAAAUCAAUGGGUAUUAUGAUCAUAAUUUGAACAUUAAUCAGCGUCGAAAAGAAUAUUGUAAUAUUAUGUCUAUUAAAUGGUCAUAUUAAUAUA
rnacentral:misc_RNA from 1 species